rnacentral:rRNA from 1 species
CAGAUUGAACGCUGGCGGCAGGCCUAACACAUGCAAGUCGAGCGGUAGCACAGAGAGCUUGCUCUCGGGUGACGAGCGGCGGACGGGUGAGUAAUGUCUGGGAAACUGCCUGAUGGAGGGGGAUAACUACUGGAAACGGUAGCUAAUACCGCAUAACGUCGCAAGACCAAAGUGGGGGACCUUCGGGCCUCAUGCCAUCAGAUGUGCCCAGAUGGGAUUAGCUGGUAGGUGGGGUAACGGCUCACCUAGGCGACGAUCCCUAGCUGGUCUGAGAGGAUGACCAGCCACACUGGAACUGAGACACGGUCCAGACUCCUACGGGAGGCAGCAGUGGGGAAUAUUGCACAAUGGGCGCAAGCCUGAUGCAGCCAUGCCGCGUGUGUGAAGAAGGCCUUCGGGUUGUAAAGCACUUUCAGCGGGGAGGAAGGCGGUGAGGUUAAUAACCUCAUCGAUUGACGUUACCCGCAGAAGAAGCACCGGCUAACUCCGUGCCAGCAGCCGCGGUAAUACGGAGGGUGCAAGCGUUAAUCGGAAUUACUGGGCGUAAAGCGCACGCAGGCGGUCUGUCAAGUCGGAUGUGAAAUCCCCGGGCUCAACCUGGGAACUGCAUUCGAAACUGGCAGGCUAGAGUCUUGUAGAGGGGGGUAGAAUUCCAGGUGUAGCGGUGAAAUGCGUAGAGAUCUGGAGGAAUACCGGUGGCGAAGGCGGCCCCCUGGACAAAGACUGACGCUCAGGUGCGAAAGCGUGGGGAGCAAACAGGAUUAGAUACCCUGGUAGUCCACGCUGUAAACGAUGUCGAUUUGGAGGUUGUGCCCUUGAGGCGUGGCUUCCGGAGCUAACGCGUUAAAUCGACCGCCUGGGGAGUACGGCCGCAAGGUUAAAACUCAAAUGAAUUGACGGGGGCCCGCACAAGCGGUGGAGCAUGUGGUUUAAUUCGAUGCAACGCGAAGAACCUUACCUGGUCUUGACAUCCACAGAACUUUCCAGAGAUGGAUUGGUGCCUUCGGGAACUGUGAGACAGGUGCUGCAUGGCUGUCGUCAGCUCGUGUUGUGAAAUGUUGGGUUAAGUCCCGCAACGAGCGCAACCCUUAUCCUUUGUUGCCAGCGGUUCGGCCGGGAACUCAAAGGAGACUGCCAGUGAUAAACUGGAGGAAGGUGGGGAUGACGUCAAGUCAUCAUGGCCCUUACGACCAGGGCUACACACGUGCUACAAUGGCAUAUACAAAGAGAAGCGACCUCGCGAGAGCAAGCGGACCUCAUAAAGUAUGUCGUAGUCCGGAUUGGAGUCUGCAACUCGACUCCAUGAAGUCGGAAUCGCUAGUAAUCGUAGAUCAGAAUGCUACGGUGAAUACGUUCCCGGGCCUUGUACACACCGCCCGUCACACCAUGGGAGUGGGUUGCAAAAGAAGUAGGUAGCUUAACCUUCGGGAGGGCGCUUACCACUUUGUGAUUCAUGACUGGGGUGAAGUCGUAACAAGGUAACCGUAGGGGAACCU